UACGGAGGGUGCGAGCGUUAAUCGGAAUUACUGGGCGUAAAGCGCGCGUAGGCGGUUUGAUAAGUCAGAUGUGAAAUCCCCGGGCUUAACCUGGGAAUGGCAUUUGAUACUGUCUGACUCGAGUGUGGUAGAGGGAAGUGGAAUUCCGCAUGUAGCGGUGAAAUGCGUAGAGAUGCGGAGGAACACCAGUGGCGAAAGCGGCUUCCUGGACCAACACUGACGAUGAGGUGCGAAAGAGUGGGGAGCAAACAGG
rnacentral:rRNA from 1 species